CCACAAGUAUUUGUACACUCCAUAUUGUUUGUGAAGAUAUUAUCAAUGAGCGUAGCACUGUGAGAUGUUAUUCUACUGGGUUUGGUGAUACUUGGAUAGAGGCUCAUACUGUACAUCCUAUUAAUAUAUUCAUCAGUUGGUUUGUGAUUAUUUGGGUUAAUCAAAUCUAUAUUAUAAUCCCCACAGAUAAAUAUUUUUUUAUUACUUAAUACUGAGAAUGUAUUUUCCACCCAGUCUGUAAAUAUUUCUAAACUCGACCCUGAUGACCUGUAUAUGCAGCUAACAAUAAUGUUUUUCUUUUUUCUGUUAAUUAUUUCUACGGAUAUGCAUUCUAAUAUGUCAUUUAUUGUCAUUGUCAUACUUUCUAUUACUCUAAAUUUAAUGUUUUUAUGGACAUAUAAAGCAACUCCACCUCCCAUUUUGUUUGUUCUGUUUACGUAAUUCAAGUUAUAACCCUCUAAUUCAAAAUCUAUGCCUUUAUCAUCAUUAA